rnacentral:ncRNA from 1 species
CUCUUAUCCAGAGCAGGCGGAGGGACUGGCCCUACGAUGCCCGGCAACCGGUUUUCACGUACUUGUGAUCACACGGUGCUAAUUCCUUCAGGAAAUAUCCUGAGAGAUAAGAG